GCUUGGUGGAGCCAGGGCACUUGUCAUGGAGGUUUUGGGAACCGUGGAAUUGAGCUUCACGCCCAGAAUGAAUCAGACACCACUGUUCAAGGGUGUGGCCAAUGUGCCCCAUGGCUGUGAGUGGUGCCACUGAAACCUGGGGGAUACUGUUGCCUGGACUUGGGCAGGAGCCCGGGAGCAGGAAGGAGUCCCUGUGGUGGCAGAGCUGGAGCUUCCUACAGUAAAGUUUGGUAGACAUGGUUGCUUUCUUCCUUCAGACCUGCGCCUGGCUCACACCCCGGGUGAGCGUGGUGUCCUGGAGGACCAGCUGGACCCUGGAAGGCCGGUGGGCCAUGACGUCCAUGCGGAAUUCUUU